rnacentral:rRNA from 1 species
GUGCCAGCAGCCGCGGUAAGACGAACCGUGCGAACGUUAUUCGGAAUCACUGGGCUUAAAGCGCGUGUAGGCGGAUGGGAACGUCGGUAGUUGAAAGCCCCCGGCUCAACCGGGGAAGUGGUGCCGAAACGACCCGUCUGGAGGGACGUAGGGGGACCUGGAACUUCCGGUGGAGCGGUGAAAUGCGUUGAGAUCGGAAGGAACGCCCGUGGCGAAAGCGAGGUCCUGGACGUCUACUGACGCUGAGACGCGAAAGCUAGGGGAGCAAACGGGAUUAGAAACCCCAGUAGUCC